AUGCUCACUUCGACAGCACAGAUACUAAAAUUGGAAUGAUACAGAGAAGAUUAGCAUGGCCCCUGUGCAAGGAUGACACACAAAUUUGUGAAACUUUCCAUAUUUUU
rnacentral:snRNA from 1 species